UCUCCGUUGGUGAACCAGCGGAGGGAUCAUUACUGGAAUCGCAAGAUCCCACAACCCCUGAGAACCUACCGAAACGUUGCCUCGGCGGGCGCCCGGCCCCGCGCCGGGCGCUGAGCCCGCCGGCGGCCCCCUACUCUUGUCUCUGCAGCGUGGCAUCUCAGAGCCCCAGAAAACAAGUAAAAACUUUCAACAACGGAUCUCUUGGCUCUA
rnacentral:misc_RNA from 1 species